rnacentral:lncRNA from 1 species
AUGUAAACAAAAAUGAAUUUUAAAAAAGAUUAUCCAUGUAAAAGUACGAGGACCAGAAGGGGGAACAUGGAGAAGUACAAUAGUCAUGGUUGGUUAAGACUAUGGGUGGAAAACUUUCUUAUAAUUUUCUUUUUUUUUUUUUAAUAAUAAAAUUCCUAAAAGAGGGUUGGAAAACUGAUGUUGGGUUUGGAAUUUGAUAUUUUGUGAAUUAUUAUAUGGUUGACUGAGGAAGCAAAAUUCUUUUGUGUGAAGAGGAUUUAAUGAUCAGUUAUCAUGUACCACAGUAUACAAGGGUGAUUCCCUGAAGCCACAAACCUGUAUUUUCCGGUUCUCAAAUAAAUUUACAGUGUCAACUCUUUAUCCAUUCUUGUUUUGGAUAUCAUGUCAUUUUCAGGACAAAGAAACCAAAAGAAAUGAAUCCAAAGAAAAAUAUCAGAAAAGGCAUGAUUCUGACAAGGAAGAAAAAGGCAGAAAAGAGCCAAAAGGAUUAAAGACACUUAAGGAAAUCAGAAAUGCAUUUGAUUUAUUUAAAUUAACUCC